rnacentral:rRNA from 1 species
GGACUACCGGGGUAUCUAAUCCUGUUUGAUCCCCACGCUUUCGUGCAUCAGAGUCAAUGAUUGUGUAGCAAGCUGCCUUCGCAAUUGGUGUUCUAUGUCAUAUCUAAGCAUUUCACCGCUACAUGACAUAUUCCGCUUACCUCCACAAUAUUCAAGACAGAUAGUAUCAACGGCAGUUCCCAAGUUAAGCUCGGGGAUUUCACCACUGACUUACCUGCCCUCCUACGCACCCUUUAAACCCAGUGAAUCCGGAUAACGCUUGCACCCUCCGUAUUACCGCGGCUGCUGGCAC